GGGAAAGGAGGAAGUGGAGACAUCCACGGGAGGACCAGUUCCUGUUGGAUCAGAAGGGAGCUGAGAGAUUUUCUUAUCAAGUUCAAGUGACAAUUCCUUUGGAAGAAUCUCUGUCCUCAGUUGUGUGGCUGUGGUUGGACAAUAUGUAAGACUGCCAGCUUCACCUCUGAUUUAUGAAGCAAUUCAAAGUUGCUGUCUGCAGAGACAUCCUGGAUCUGCAUGCUUAAAACAGAAGUCCUGGAAGCAUGCACAGUCUAACUACAAGAAAAAAUAUCAGAUGAACUUCAGAGCUUCCUACCAAACACUGACCAGGACUUCUCAAAACAAGACUACUGAAAACCAGGAACCCCUGAGAAGCUGUAGCAGCCAAGAGGGACCUAAGGAAGCAUGAUGAUUAAAUCUGAUGUGGGAUCCCGGGUGGGACCUUGAGGCAAAAAAUAGUACAUUUUGGCAAAAGCUAAGAAAAUAGGAAUAAAGUACAGAUUUCAAUUAAUAAAAAUGCAUCAAUGCAGAUUGCUUUUUUCGACAA